rnacentral:rRNA from 1 species
AAUGACCGCGGAUCAGGUGAGGAUACCCGCUGAAUUUNAGCAUAUCA